rnacentral:rRNA from 1 species
AUGUCAUGGGGUCAUGUCAUGGGGGUCCACCGCCCCAGAUGCGCUGCAACAUCCAACCGAGGGUUGGUCCUGGAAGACUCUGCCGCCACCACCGGCAGUGUUCCACCGCCGCGUCAACUCCUAUAUGCACUACACCCAGAUGGAUGCACCAUCUUCAUGUCCAGAACUAACUUCAUGACUGCACCUAGCAAAGGUUGCAUGGGCACCUACUCAUUCAACACCAAGGAUUCUUUGUGGAGAUGGAAUGGGGAGUGGGCCUUGCCAUUCAUCGGCCAAGCUCACUUUGACAGUGAGCUCAACGCUUGGGUUGGCCUUCGGUGGGAUGGCUACAUCUUUGCUUGCCAAGUUGCCUCCCACAGCUGCCACAACACGACUCCAACGUUGCAGCUAGACUGCCAGACAACCAAGGAGAAGUUGUUCUGCAAGGACCGGAACCCACACACGGGAGCCUCUCUCACCUACAUGGGCACGGGCAAGUUGUGCCUCGUCCAGCGCGUGAAACGGGAGGGAGUGGAGGAGGCACUAGCUUGGGGAGACCACGACGGCUGUGUGCUCCACAUCAGCAUAUUUGGCCUGAAGUACAAUCACAAGGGAGAGCUGUAG